CAGUCGCCACGGUAAUACAGAGGGUGCGAGCGUUAAUCGGAUUUACUGGGCGUAAAGCGUGCGUAGGCGGCUUCUUAAGUCGGAUGUGAAAUCCCUGAGCUUAACUUAGGUAUUGCAUUCGAUACUGGGAAGCUAGAGUAUGGGAGAGGAUGGUAGAAUUCCAGGUGUAGCGGUGAAAUGCGUAGAGAUCUGGAGGAAUACCGAUGGCGAAGGCAGCCAUCUGGCCUAAUACUGACGCUGAGGUACGAAAGCAUGGGGAGCAAACAGGAUUAGAUACCCGCGUAGUCCCUGUCUCUUAUAC
rnacentral:rRNA from 1 species